rnacentral:rRNA from 1 species
UACAGAGGUCUCAAGCGUUGUUCGGAUUCAUUGGGCGUAAAGGGUGCGUAGGCGGCGCGGUAAGUCGGGUGUGAAAUCUCGGAGCUUAACUCCGAAACUGCAUUCGAUACUGCCGUGCUUGAGGACUGGAGAGGAGACUGGAAUUUACGGUGUAGCGGUGAAAUGCGUAGAUAUCGGGAGGAACGCCAGUGGCGAAGGCGACUUCCUGGCCUGUUCUUGACGCUGAGGCGCGAAAGCUAGGGGAGCAAACGGGG